CAUUUCCGGCAUAGCUGCGAGUGCGCAAAGAGGUGCGUGGUGGCUAAAGUUUCAUAAACUCAGGGACAUGUCCUGUUCAUCUCGCCAUUUCGGCACGGCCGCGCCGGUGCUGCUGCUGCCGAUCGUGCUGGUGCUGGUGCUGGCGAUGUUGCCUGCGCGGAGGAGCGGGGCUUGCGCCCAUGCACGGCCGUCCACACCGUGGCCUCCGUACGGCAUGCCGCACCGUCCUCUGCGAUGGGGCUACCUGGCCUACGGAUCGUCAUUUCUGCUGUGCGACAACUGGCUCGGCCGUCACUACCGGCGGCGAAACAAGCUCGGGGACUACCCGUACUGCGCUCACGGGUCCAGAGGACUGUACAACCUGCGGCCCAAGCCUUCGUUACACGACAUCAUAUACGGGCGCCACAGGGGACCAGCGACGGACACGGACGACUAAGCGGCCGUGCUUACAGGAGUUCGUGUCCACAAGUGGAAGCUUCGUCACUGCUUCGGAAGCCUGCUUCAAACGUUCAGCAUACAAGAGCGGAAAGAAGUGGCUCGUUCCAAGUGCGUGGGCUGCCAAGUUUGUGUCACGUUCUUCGAAAACGUCAGUGGGAUAGCAUUCGAUGAUCUUGCUCAGAUGCCCGAAGCGCACACACUAUAAGGUCGCUUACGUAAACAUUUUUUCUUCCUGUGA